GGCUGGCUAACGGUUUGGCUGCAAAAAACAAAAAAAAUUGAAUUCACACCUCCAGUUUCCCCGUGGCAUUCAAAGAGAUAAGCGAUUACCAGUGGCAACCAGUAGCACCUUUGAGCCGCGACUGGCGUGGCAGCUAAGUAUAGCUCCACCCAGCUACGCCUCUUUUGGGGGGGGACCAACUGCGCCUGUAUUGGUGGGGUACCAACUGCAUUGCCACUGCGAUUGUUUAAAUAUAUUCUGAUAAAUAUGCGAUUAUGAAUAGUUAUAGUUUGGUUAGCACUUGUUUGGCUUUCGAUCAAAUUGCAACUACAAUGAACAAUAACAAUAAAAUGCUACGCUACAUUAAGUUUAAUU